rnacentral:lncRNA from 1 species
CUCUUUGUGGGAUAUGAGAAAAAGACUAUAGAAAUACUUGUUCUGGUAUAUAUUGAUGUGUGCAGCCCAUUCGAUGUGCCAAUUAGAGGAGGUUAUUUCUACUUCAUAAUUUUUAUCAAUAAUUUUUCACGAUAUGGGUACAUGUAUCUCAUGAGGCACAAGUCUGAAGCAUUUAAAAAGUUUAAAAAAUUUAGAAAUAAAGUAGAGAAACAAACUGAAAAUUUUUUAAGGUUCUUUAAUC